rnacentral:pre_miRNA from 1 species
AUCACCUGGGGAUCUUGUUAAAAUACAGAUUCUGAUUCAGUAGGUCUGAGGAAGGCCUGAGAUUCUGGAUUUUUAACAAGUUCCCAGGGAAUGCAGA